rnacentral:rRNA from 1 species
AACGAACGCUGGCGGCAGGCCUAACACAUGCAAGUCGAGCGCCCUCUUCGGAGGGAGCGGCGGACGGGUUAGUAACGCGUGGGAACGUGCCUCUCUCUUGGGAAUAGCCAUUGGAAACGAUGAUUAAUGCCCGAUACGCCCUUUGGGGGAAAGAUUUAUCGGAGAGAGAUCGGCCCGCGUUAGAUUAGUUAGUUGGUGGGGUAACGGCUUACCAAGACGACGAUCUAUAGCUGGUUUGAGAGGAUGAUCAGCAACACUGGGACUGAGACACGGCCCAGACUCCUACGGGAGGCAGCAGUGGGGAAUCUUAGACAAUGGGCGCAAGCCUGAUCUAGCCAUGCCGCGUGAGUGAAGAAGGCCUUAGGGUCGUAAAGCUCUUUCGCCUGUGAAGAUAAUGACGGUAGCAGGUAAAGAACCCCCGGCUAAACUCCGUGCCAGCGCCGCGGUAA